rnacentral:rRNA from 1 species
AUUGAACGCUGGCGGCGUGCUUAACACAUGCAAGUCGAACGAAGUGGCGAACGGGUGAGUAACGCGUAAUCAACCUGCCCUUCAGAGGGGGACAACAGUUGGAAACGACUGCUAAUAACGCAUACUGAAGGAGGGGAUUGGGACUGAUUAGCUAGUGGGAGGGGUAACGGCCCACCAAGGCGAGGCUGCGUAGCCGGUCUGAUAUGAUGACCGGCCACAUUGGUACUGAGACACGGCCCAGACUCCUACGGGAGGCAGCAGUGGGGAAUCUUCCGCAAUGGACGAAAGUCUGACGGAGCAACGCCGCGUGAGGGAUGACGGCCUUCGGGUUGUAAAGCUCUGUUAAUCGGGACGCGGUACCGGAAUAGAAAGCCACGGCUAACUACGUGCCAGCCGCCGCGGUAAUUC